rnacentral:pre_miRNA from 1 species
GAACGGUAGCGGCAGACCACCGCCGAGUUCUGUAGGUGGCGAGGUGGCAGGCGAGACUCGUGGUGACUCCGACUGUCGCCA